rnacentral:rRNA from 1 species
CAGUCGCCGCGGUAAUACGGAGGGAGCUAGCGUUGUUCGGAAUUACUGGGCGUAAAGCGCACGUAGGCGGUUAUUCAAGUCAGAGGUGAAAGCCCGGGGCUCAACCCCGGAACUGCCUUUGAAACUAGAUGACUAGAAUCUUGGAGAGGUCAGUGGAAUUCCGAGUGUAGAGGUGAAAUUCGUAGAUAUUCGGAAGAACACCAGUGGCGAAGGCGACUGACUGGACAAGUAUUGACGCUGAGGUGCGAAAGCGUGGGGAGCAAACAGGAUUAGAUACCCCCGUAGUCCCUGUCUCUUAUAC